rnacentral:rRNA from 2 species
GCCUUGCUGAAUUAUUCACCCUUGUCUUUUGCGUACUUCUUGUUUCCUUGGUGGGUUCGCCCACCACUAGGACAAACAUAAACCUUUUGUAAUUGCAAUCAGCGUCAGUAACAAAUUAAUAAUUACAACUUUCAACAACGGAUCUCUUGGUUCUGGCAUCGAUGAAGAACGCAGCGAAAUGCGAUAAGUAGUGUGAAUUGCAGAAUUCAGUGAAUCAUCGAAUCUUUGAACGCACAUUGCGCCCUUUGGUAUUCCAAAGGGCAUGCCUGUUCGAGCGUCAUUUGUACCCUCAAGCUUUGCUUGGUGUUGGGCGUCUUGUCUCUAGCUUUGCUGGAGACUCGCCUUAAAGUAAUUGGCAGCCGGCCUACUGGUUUCGGAGCGCAGCACAAGUCGCACUCUCUAUCAGCAAAGGUCUAGCAUCCAUUAAGCCUUUUUUUCAACUUUUGACCUCGGAUCAGGUAGGGAUACCCGCUGAACUUAAGCAUAUCAA